rnacentral:misc_RNA from 1 species
GAUGAAGAACGUAGCGAAAUGCGAUACGUAAUGUGAAUUGCAGAAUUCAGUGAAUCAUCGAAUCUUUGAACGCACAUUGCACUCUCUGGUAUUCCGGAGAGUAUGCUUGUUUGAGUAUCAGUAAACACCUCAAAUCUCUUGCUUCUUGUGAAUAAGAGAAUUGGACUUGAGCAAUCCCAACUCUUGCAAAAGAGGCGGGUUGCUUGAAAUGCAGGUGCAGCUGGACAUUCUUCUGAGCUAAAAGCAUAUUUAUUUAGUCCCGUAAAACGGAUUAUUACUUUUGCUGCAGCUAACAUAAAGGUUGAAUGGCCAAUAUGGCUGACUGAUGCAGGAUUAACAGAGAAUUUAUUCUUUGUAAACUCGAUCUCAAAUCAAGUAAGACUACCCGCUGAACUUAAGCAUAUCAAUAAGCGGAGGA